CAGUGCAGUGCAGUGCAGUGCAGUGCAGUGCAGUGCAGUGCACUGCACUGCACUGCACUGCACUGCACUGCACUGCACUGCACUGCACUGCACUGC